rnacentral:misc_RNA from 1 species
AAGUCGUAACAAGGUCUCCGUUGGUGAACCAGCGGAGGGAUCAUUACCGAGUUUACAACUCCCAAACCCCUGUGAACAUACCUAUCGUUGCUUCGGCGGAUCGCCCCGGCGCCCUCGGGCCCGGAUCCAGGCGCCCGCCGGAGGACCCAAACUCUUGUAUUCUUGAGAAUUUCUGAGUAAACAAGCAAAUAAAUCAAAACUUUCAACAACGGAUCUCUUGGUUCUG